rnacentral:rRNA from 1 species
GCAUAUCAAUAAGCGGGAGGAAGAAGAAACUAACAAGGAUUUCCCCUAGUAACUGCGAGUGAAGAGGGAGAAGCUCAAAUUUGAAAUCUGGCAGUUUCUGGCUGUCCGAGUUGUAAUUUAGAGAAGUGUUACCCGCGUUGGACCGUGUACAAGUCUCCUGGAAUGGAGCGUCAUAGAGGGUGAGAAUCCCGUCUUUGACACGGACUGCCAGUUGCUUUGUGGUGCGCUCUCGAAGAGUCGAGUUGUUUGGGAAUGCAGCUCUAAAUGGGUGGUAAAUUCCAUCUAAAGCUAAAUAUUGGCGAGAGACCGAUAGCGAACAAGUACCGUGAGGGAAAGAUGAAAAGAACUUUGGAAAGAGAGUUAAACAGUACGUGAAAUUGCUGAAAGGGAAACGCUUGAAGUCAGUCGCGUUGGCCAGGGAUCAGCCUUCCUUUCGGUUGGUGUACUUCCUGGUUAACGGGUCAGCAUCAGUUUUGACCGUUGGAUAAAGUCUAGGGGAAUGUGGCAUCUUCGGGUGUGUUAUAGCCUUUAGUCGUAUACAACGGUUGGGACUGAGGAACUCAGCACGCCGCAAGGCCGGGUCUUUGACCACGUUCGUGCUUAGGAUGCUGGCAUAAUGGCUUUAAUCGACCCGUCUUGAAACACGGACCAAGGAGUCUAACAUGCCUGCGAGUGUUUGGGUGGAAAACCCGAGCGCGUAAUGAAAGUGAAAGUUGAGAUCUCUGUCGUGGAGAGCAUCGACGCCCGGCCCAGACCUUCUGUGACGGUGCCGCGGUUGAGCAUGUAUGUUGGGACCCCGAAAGAUGGUGAACUAUGCCUGAAUAGGGUGAAGCCCAGAGGAAACUCUGGUGGAGGCUCGUAGCGAUUCUGACGUGCAAAUCGAUCGUCGAAUUUGGGUAUAGGGGGCGAAAGACUAAUCGAAAUCAUCUAGUAGCUGGUUACUGUCGA